UUCAGAUUCCCUUUGGGUCAGAAUCUAGAAGCAAACUGGAAGGCCAUCUAGAGAAAGCACCACAUAGAGAAACCAUCAAGUAAGGCUGAUUGGGCCAGGUUGAGUGUCAACUUCAAGAUAUCAGAGGGGACAAGGAUUGCAGAUCUGAAGGCAAAUAAGAAGAGAGUUGCAGUGUUCACACUUACUAGUCACACAAAGGAUGUUGGCAUUAAACAUUUCUCACCAGCACAGGAAAAACGUGGCAUGAGGAGCUCUAACAUCUUUCCUGGUGAAAUCUUUGCAAACCUUGGGAAAUGGGGCAACGAGCAUGGAAAUAUAAAGAUUGAAUUCCAAUCUUCUGAUGGGGAACUCUUGACCUAUUCUUCACCUCCAGAGAUGUAACCUCCAUUCUUUAUUUCUUUUUUAUUAAUCUCCAUUUAGUGCUAUGAAAUGGACAGAAGCUCUCCAAUUUUUAUGACUGACUAAUAGUCUAGAAUGAAAAUGUCAUGAAAAUGGGGACUUUGUGUUGUUCAGUGCUCUAUCCCCAGAACUUAUAACAGCUCCCAGCACACAGGAGGUGUCAG
ensembl:lncRNA